rnacentral:rRNA from 1 species
UACGGAGGGGGCCAGCGUUGUUCGGAAUUAUUGGGCGUAAAGGGCGCGUAGGCGGCCAUUCAAGUCGGACGUGAAAUCCCUCGGCUUAACCGGGGAACUGCGUCCGAUACUGGAUGACUUGAGUUCGGGAGAGGGAUGCGGAAUUCCAGGUGUAGCGGUGAAAUGCGUAGAUAUCUGGAGGAACACCGGUGGCGAAGGCGGCAUCCUGGACCGACACUGACGCUGAGGAGCGAAAGCCAGGGGAGCAAACGGG